rnacentral:rRNA from 1 species
GACGUAGGGCGCAAGCGUUGUCCGGAUUUAUUGGGCGUAAAGAGCUCGUAGGCGGCUUGUCGCGUCGACUGUGAAAACCCACGGCUCAACUGUGGGACUGCGGUCGAUACGGGCUAGCUAGAGUUCGGUAGGGGAGACUGGAAUUCCUGGUGUAGCGGUGAAAUGCGCAGAUAUCAGGAGGAACACCGGUGGCGAAGGCGGGUCUCUGGGCCGAUACUGACGCUGAGGAGCGAAAGCGUGGGGAGCGAACAGG